GAGCGGGCUGCAGGGCGCUCGGGCCGCCGGAGCCCGCGCAGCGCAGCGUACCCGCACCCGCACCCGCACCUCUCGGCGCCAGCGCCCGGGAGCCGCCCCUCUCCGGUGAAGACUGAUGUUAGGAGUUGAAGGUGAGCUUGAAAAGGUACACCGCAACUAUACAAUGGGCACCGGUUACAUCCUGAAGUGCCGUCAGCUAUAACCAAAGUUCCUGAUCCCAAGACCACAGACAAAAGUUCCC
rnacentral:lncRNA from 1 species